GACGAACGCUGGCGGCGUGCUUAACACAUGCAAGUCGAACGAAGUGGCGAACGGGUGAGUAACGCGUAAUCAACCUGCCCUUCAGAGGGGGACAACCGUUGGAAACGCCUGCUAAUACCGCAUACUGAAGGAGGGGAUUGGGUCUGCUUAGCUAGUUGGCGGGGUAACGGCCCACCAGGGCGAUGAUCAGUAGGCGGUCUGAGAGGUUGAACGGCCACAUUGGGACUGAGACACGGCCCAGACUCCUACGGGAGGCAGCAGUGGGGAAUCUUCCGCAAUGGACGAAAGUCUGACGGAGCAACGCCGCGUGAGUGAUGACGGCCUUCGGGUUGUAAAGCUCUGUUAAUCGGGACGCGGUACCGGAAUAGAAAGCCACGGCUAACUACGUGCCAGCAGCCGCGGUAAUUC
rnacentral:rRNA from 1 species